GAGACAAACGGGAGAGGCUUAACCAUUGCAAGCCGAGCGGUUAGAGAUCUUUCGGGAUCUUGAGAGCGGCGUACGGGUGCGGAACACGUGUGCAACCUGCCUUUAUCUGGGGGAUAGCCUUUCGAAAGGAAGAUUAAUACCCCAUAAUAUACUGGAUGGCAUCAUUCGGUAUUGAAAACUCCGGUGGAUAGAGAUGGGCACGCGCAAGAUUAGAUAGUUGGUGAGGUAACGGCUCACCAAGUCUGCGAUCUUUAGGGGGCCUGAGAGGGUGAUCCCCCACACUGGUACUGAGACACGGACCAGACUCCUACGGGAGGCAGCAGUGAGGAAUAUUGGACAAUGGGUGAGAGCCUGAUCCAGCCAUCCCGCGUGAAGGACGACGGCCCUAUGUGUUGUAAACUUCUUUUGUAUAGGGAUAAACCUACCCACGUGAGGGUAG
rnacentral:rRNA from 1 species